rnacentral:rRNA from 1 species
AACGAACGCUGGCGGCAUGCCUAACACAUGCAAGUCGAACGAGACCUUCGGGUCUAGUGGCGCACGGGUGCGUAACGCGUGGGAACCUGCCCUUAGGUUCGGAAUAACUCCCCGAAAGGGGUGCUAAUACCGGAUAAUGUCUUCGGACCAAAGAUUUAUCGCCUUUGGAUGGGCCCGCGUUGGAUUAGCUAGUUGGUAGGGUAAAAGCCUACCAAGGCGACGACCCUCAGCUGGGUGGGGAGGAUGAUCAGCCACACGGGGACUGAGACACGGCCCAGACUCCUACGGGAGGCAGCAGUGGGGAAUAUUGGACAAUGGGCGAAAGCCUGAUCCAGCAAUGCCGCGUGAGUGAUGAAGGCCUUAGGGUUGUAAAGCUCUUUUACCCGGGAUGAUAAUGACAGUACCGGGAGAAUAAGCUCCGGCUAACUCCGUG